rnacentral:rRNA from 1 species
GAUGAACGCUGGCGGCGUGCCUAACACAUGCAAGUCGAACGGAGAUUACGGACGGAAGUUUUCGGAUGGAAGCCUGUAAUUCUUAGUGGCGGACGGGUGAGUAACGCGUGGGCAACCUGCCCUAUACAGGGGGAUAGCAGCUGGAAACGGCUGGUAAGACCGCAUAAGUCGGUUAAAUCGCAUGAUUUGAUCGGGAAAUGAACAAUCAGGUAUAGGAUGGGCCCGCGUCCGAUUAGCCAGUUGGCAGGGUAAAAGCCUACCAAAGCGACGAUCGGUAGCCGGACUGAGAGGUCGGACGGCCACAUUGGGACUGAGACACGGCCCAAACUCCUACGGGAGGCAGCAGUGGGGGAUAUUGCACAAUGGAGGAAACUCUGAUGCAGCGACGCCGCGUGAGUGAAGAAGCAUUUCGGUAUGUAAAGCUCUAUCAGCAGGGAAGAUGAUGACGGUACAUGACUAAGAAGCCCCGGCUAACUACGUG